rnacentral:rRNA from 1 species
AGCGAAGUUUUUCUGGUGCUUGCACUAGAAAAACUUAGCGGCGAACGGGUGAGUAACACGUAAAGAACCUGCCUCAUAGACUGGGACAACUAUUGGAAACGAUAGCUAAUACCGGAUAACAGCAUUAACUGCAUGGUUGAUGUUUAAAAGUUGGUUUUGCUAACACUAUGAGAUGGCUUUGCGGUGCAUUAGCUAGUUGGUGGGGUAAAGGCCUACCAAGGCGACGAUGCAUAGCCGACCUGAGAGGGUGAUCGGCCACACUGGGACUGAGACACGGCCCAGACUCCUACGGGAGGCAGCAGUAGGGAAUCUUCCGCAAUGGGCGAAAGCCUGACGGAGCAACGCCGCGUGAGUGAAGAAGGAUUUCGGUUCGUAAAGCUCUGUUGUUAGGGAAGAAUGAUUGUGUAGUAACUAUACACAGUAGAGACGGUACCUAACCAGAAAGCCACGGCUAACUACGUGCCAGCAGCCGCGGUAAUACGUAGGUGGCAAGCGUUGUCCGGAAUUAUUGGGCGUAAAGCGCGCGCAGGUGGUUUAAUAAGUCUGAUGUGAAAGCCCACGGCUCAACCGUGGAGGGUC